UCGCACCUACCGAUUGAGUGGUCCGGUGAAGACUCCGGAUUGUGGUUGUUUCCUUUAUUGGGAAUGACCGUGAGAAGUUGUCUGAACCUUAUCACUUAGAGGAAGGUG
rnacentral:rRNA from 1 species